rnacentral:lncRNA from 1 species
CAAUCAAUCUAACACAAUUAGUAAAGUGCUUUCUAUGCGAAAAGCAAUAGAUCUUUGCUGGUAAUUAUUCUCUCCAUUUUUAUACGAUUUUAGAAUUUGAAAGCAUUUUCCCAGAGUUGACGCCAAGAGAGCUAUAUUCCAAAACUUGGACCCAUGCUGACUCAUUGCCUAACUGCACAUUUUCCUGGUAACCAGGCGGAUGAUGUGCUAAUGCAAAUUGGCAGACUUGGACUGAAACUCCAAAAAUUGGAUCUGCCACGUGGAAGAACAAAAGGACAAAAGAGACUUCAAGGCUUCCCUUUUGCUUUGGGUUUCCAUUUCUGUUGCAAUGGUAGACAGUAAGUGCUCAACAAGGAUGUGGUAUUCAGGGGUGCCCUAUGGUGACCAUUAAGAUUUUAAAACACUGUGAGCAGUGGUUCUUUUCAUUUAAAAUAAAU